rnacentral:sRNA from 3 species
AUGCCCAACCCGUACACUCCGGUUCCUCCGCGCCGUCUCCCCCGCCUGGCGACUGCUCGCUACGUCUUGUUAGCC